CGUGGCAGCGGCUGGUGGCCGCGUCCGCCUGGAGUUCCUGGAGACGCCCUCCCGCGGGCGAGCCGCGGGAGGGAAGGAGCCCAGAGGGAGGGAAAAACUCAGCGCCUGGCAGGGAAUGACGGAAAGAGAAGGAUGGAAUUGUUAGCAAAGCAAUAGCUCCGGGUGCCCGCCAAUGCAGCCCCAGGCCCCACGCGCCAGCACUCCACGAAACAAGGAUUCUGGCCAGUCCAGUGUGAAUCAUAUGCCCCACUCCUGUGGCAAAGAAGGCAGGACAUUGUGAUAGGACAGCUCUACCAGAGCCCUAUAGAGUCAUACAGCCACAUACAGCAAGAGGGAACAGUUCUUCAAAGAAAAGGGGAAGGUGUUGCUAAAAGAAGGAAGAACACCAAGAAGGCACAAAAAAGUAUGUCCAUCACAUCAAGCAAACAUGACCUGACUGCCCCCAGAAAACCUCAGGCUUGAGGACAAAGGAUGCUGACUCCAACUAGAAGUUGUGCCUUUCCAAUACUUCUCUCCAAGGUAGCUCCAAAUUUUUCCUGUAGGCAGAAGCUGGGCAGAGUUUUCUAGCUCUUUGGAAAAGAAACUCAUUCUACUGCCAAGAAAGUCAAUAAAUUGAAAACCAUGA